rnacentral:rRNA from 1 species
CGCGUGGGAAGUCUACCCAUCUCUACGGAACAACUCCGGGAAACUGGAGCUAAUACCGUAUACGCCUUUUGGAGAAAGAUUUAUCGGAGAUGGAUGAGCCGCGUUGGAUUAGCUAGUUGGUGGGGUAAUGGCCUACCAAGGCGACGAUCCAUAGCUGGUCUGAGAGGAUGAUCAGCCACACUGGGACUGAGACACGGCCCAGACUCCUACGGGAGGCAGCAGCC